rnacentral:lncRNA from 1 species
CCUGCAGGAAGCAAUCCAAGGCCUGCUGGCAGGCACAGGGAAGGACUUGAGGCAGUAAAAUGGUGCCUGUUCUGAUCACCUGUUGGGUUAGGGCUCUUAGCCCUCGACAAAAGGUGAUAUGAGACCUGCAGCCAGGCAGUAGGACAGUCCACUUGCCAAUACAGUUCCUCAUUCAAGUUUGUGUUGGCRCUCAAGUUAAAAAGUCAUCCUUUAUUUCUUCCCCCUCUUCCACCAAAAAUAAAUAGAAGAGCCCAAGUGCUCUGGGACUCCCACAGAAGCCUGGCAGGUUUGCUGACACUGAACUUGAGCUCUUACCAUGAGAAUGCAGGCCCCAGAGUGGUAUGAAGAUUAUUAUUCUAUAAAUGGAAAAUUCCACCGUGAUCCUGCAGCCUGCAUACCUCCAAGGGAUACAGACUUUUUGAGUUCUGAAGAGUGGGAACCAUCAUUCUGAGAAAAAGUUCAGCAAGGAAAGUUUAAAACUACUGUUUCUGCUCCCUCUGGGUCAGGCCCAACGAAGGAAGGCAAACAAAUGGAGACCUUCUUUCUUGCCCCACAUGGUUCUUAUGUGAUGGAAUGAAGAGAAUAGGAACUUGGAUAUGAACUUGAAUAAGAACAAAUGCCUUGCUGGGGACUUGCAGCCUGAGUGAGUGGGCAGUGGUGACAGGACAGAAAUGCCCCAGAAAGAAGUGGAAGGAACAAGUGUGUUCUGGAGUCUGGCCACGUGCUAUUUCCGGGGCUGCUCACCUUGCUUGUUGUCACCGUUGCCCACUGUCAAGCAGGCAWUUGGCCCAAAAGGAAAGUCUGAAAGUGGAAGCAAAGCAUGAAGAUGUUUGUCACGGGCACRUGCUGGGCAUAGUACCCUGGAAGCCUUUGCUGUUAGUCACCAUAGAAGGGGCAAAGUGGCAGCUGCUCCAGCUCUGGGAGUCUGGAACAAAACAGGUGGAAGUAGCCAGGGUGUGGACAUUUCUCCAGAGGACACCCUCAGACAGUCAAGGCAAGAAGACAGUUCCCUGGGAAGGUUCUGGGUGAUGGAGUUGCCUUUCAGGAUGCUGGAUGCAUUGUCAGGGCCCAUCGCGUCCAGGUGGGUGGCAUUUGCUAAUGACUAGCUCCCUUCUGGAACCAAAGAAAAGUGCAGCACGUGUCUCCGAGCCCUGCAGAGAAUCCUGACCACCUGGCUGUGCUUGGGAGGUGCCCACUUCAUCUCGCAGCCAGAGAUAAAGUGAAGGGCCGUCUCCCUGUGCAGCCCAG